GCAGGUACCCCGGCAGCGCCCCGUACUCCUCCCCACACGCCGCCGCCGCUAACCUCUCCACCUCAUCCGCCGUCGAGGCCAUCGAUCGCCGACGCAACCCAACGGUUCACCUGGCUCUCUCAUCGAGGCUUCAAAUCCGAGGUAGUGGAACUCAUCCUCGCCGCUUUCGAUUUCUGGAGCAUCCCCAGCCCCGCGUCCGCGGCGCCGAAGGCUCGCCGGAGCUCCGCCGCCGCGAUCCAACCCUUUUUUUUUUACUUUACCCCGAUUAUUAAUCGCGAUCCGAUUAUUAACAAUUUGCCCCCUGUAUCUUUACAUAUCACCCCUCCUGCCGGUCGCUUGUUCUCCUCGUCUUCCCGCCGCCCGUCCUUUCGCCGGCGGCCGGGCCUCAUCCCCAAUCUGAGCGGCGCCGCUUUUCCAGAGUCUCCGUCGAGGACCCCGUCGGGAGGAGGCGUCACCAGACCCGGCCUUCGCGAAGCGCGCGGCGACGGCAAUUUCGAUAAAAUGCCAGCACACGAAAACCGCCAGGUUGAGCGCGCUCAUCACCGCGAGGAGCCAGAAGAAGCGGUCGAGAUGGCCAUCGUUGAGGUCAUCGGGUAUCCACCCCGGCCCGCCGCCCCUCGUCGUGAGCCACUCCACCAUGGUCACCACGAGUGAACUGACGUAGCUCCCGAGCGCCACCGUGAGCAGCGCCAGCGCCGAGCACAGGCUGCGCAUCGACGGCGGCGCCUCGUUGUAGAAGAACUCCGUCUGCCCGACGCACGCGAACACGACGCUGGCGCCCACCAGGAAGUACUGGGGCACCUGCCACAGGAUACUCAUCGACGACCGGCCCUCGCCGUGCGCGCUCGCCAGGCGUCGCGUCUCGACCACCGCCGCGGUCACCAUCACCAGGACGGACAGGAGCAGCCCGGCGCCGAGGCGCUGCAGCUCCGAGAUGCCCCGGGCAUUGGCGGUGAGCCGCCUGGCCACCGGGACGAGGACCCGAUCGUAGACGGGCACCCAGAUGAGGACGCUGACGGCGUCGAACGAUGCCAGGGACGCCGGCGGGAUGGCGAACGCGCCGAGAUGCUUGUUCAUCGUCCUGCCCUGCUCCAGGAACGUGGAGGAGAACUGCGCGAGCACGGCGAAGAACACGAUUCCGGUGGCCCAGAUGGGGAGCAUGCCGAUGAUCACCUUCAGCUCCUCGACUUGCGUCACGGUGCAGAGCCUCCAUGGAUCAGAGUCAGAUGGGUCUUCAGUUGAUGAGAUCACUGCAGCCUUGUCAAGGAAUCUGAACAGCGAAAUUGCCAAGUCACAGUAAAGAUGGGCCCUAUGUGAAAAGUGUUUCAGUGUUCACACAUCGAGUUCAAAGUUCAAACAACUAGUACCUGAGAACAGGCGUGUGCUGCAAUUUAUGGACAUCCGCCAUUGGCGUCUUCUCUGGGAGCUCAUGGAGUAGAGAAUCGUCAUACGGUAAAACUACAUUACAUUUUCGAACAGCUGCAAAUAUAACCUGAAGCACCCUUAUAAUUGGACUCCCCAGGGGCUUUUGCACCCUGUACUUACUGGAGCCCAGCAAGAAGCUUGCAAUGGCCAACGCGAUGAACAGAGUUGGGAGCCAGAGGCCAACUCCCCAACCGUAGUGAUCUUGCACCCACACAACUGCGGUACCCGCGACGAAGCUCCCAAUGUAGGUUGCAAAGAAGAACCAGUUAAAGAAGGAAUCCUUCUUCAACCUCUCGGCUAGGCUGCUGUCAUCGAACUGGUCAGCGCCGAAAGAUGAGACACACGGCUUGAUACCACCGGCUCCUAUGCCCAUCAUGUAGAGGCCAAGGAAGAACACAGCGGGCUGAGAUGAACCACCCUUCAGGAACGAUGCUGAAAUAGACAUUGCAGCCAUCCCCUGGUGUUGAACAAGAACAACACCCAUGAACUAGUUAGUUGCUGUUGUUUCUAGAACAAUGAGCACGUAUUAUUAUAAGUGCCCAAACAAAACAGCAGUAUAAUCAGUUGCUUGAUAGUUUCUUAAA